CCUACGGGAGGCAGCAGUGAGGAAUAUUGGUCAAUGGACGAGAGUCUGAACCAGCCAAGUAGCGUGAAGGAUGACUGCCCUAUGGGUUGUAAACUUCUUUUAUAUGGGAAUAAAAUGUUCCACGUGUGGGAUUUUGUAUGUACCAUAUGAAUAAGGAUCGGCUAACUCCGUGCCAGCAGCCGCGGUAAUACGGAGGAUCCGAGCGUUAUCCGGAUUUAUUGGGUUUAAAGGGAGCGUAGGUGGAUUGUUAAGUCAGUUGUGAAAGUUUGCGGCUCAACCGUAAAAUUGCAGUUGAAACUGGCAGUCUUGAGUACAGUAGAGGUGGGCGGAAUUCGUGGUGUAGCGGUGAAAUGCUUAGAUAUCACGAAGAACUCCGAUUGCGAAGGCAGCUCACUGGACAUUAACUGACGCUGAGGCACGAAGGCCAGGGGAGCGAAAGGGAUUAGAUACCCUUGUAGUC
rnacentral:rRNA from 1 species